AGGGAUCUGGUUAAAAUGCAGAUUCUUCUCUGUAGCGGGGACUCUAGAUUCUGCAUUUCUACUAUGCACUCAGGUGAUG
rnacentral:miRNA from 1 species